rnacentral:rRNA from 1 species
CAGCCGCCACGGUAAUACGAAGGGGGCUAGCGUUGCUCGGAUUUACUGGGCGUAAAGGGCGCGUAGGCGGACAGUUUAGUCAGUGGUGAAAGCCCGGGGCCCAACCUCGGAAUUGCCUUUGAUACUGGCUGUCUUGAGUACGGGAGAGGUGUGUGGAACUCCGAGUGUAGAGGUGAAAUUCGUAGAUAUUCGGAAGAAAACCAGUGGCGAAGGCGACACACUGGCCCGUUACUGACGCUGAGGCGCGAAAGCGUGGGGAGCAAACAGGAUUAGAUACCCGCGUAGUCCCUGUCUCUAUACA